rnacentral:sRNA from 1 species
GCUCAGUGGUGUGCAUGGGUAGUCCCAGCUACUUGGGAGGCUGAGGCAGGAGGAUUGCUUGAGCCCAGGAGUUUUAGGCUGGCCUGGGCAACAGAGUGAGACCCAGUGCCCA